rnacentral:lncRNA from 1 species
AAACAAAAUAAAAAAAAAGAUAAAUAAAAAAGGAGAUAAGUGAGAAGAGAAAAGUGGGAAAGAAAUAACUGCAACAGGGUGUUAUAACCGUAAAAAAACUCCCCAGUCUCCACUACCCACUAACUUCAUAAAAUGAAGAGAAAAAAAAAGUUACAAAGGAGAAAAAAAAAAACUAGAAAACGUUUUCGAUCGAUAUUAUUUAAUAAAGAAAUUGUUGAUGCAAAGGUUAGUCAACUCAAGAAGGAUAAAGGUAUUAAGGACGACGAUGAUAUCUUAAAGUCUCUAGAAAAGUACAAGAUAAAGUAUCUACG